UAUUCCUUCCCUGUAUAAGGUGUAACCUCAAGAUUCGAGUAUUUCAACUCUCGCGACCUCGGCUUCGACUGGGGAGUAGCGAAUCGGCGAUAGUCCGAUAUUGAUAGCAUUUGGUUAUACUGAAGCGUCAGUAGUUUUGCCUAUGGCACGGAGUAACGAGCGGAAAAACAAUCAUUACUGCGUUGCGUUACGCAUUACAGAACGGACUAACCUAAAAUUUCGUUGAAAAUGCAAAUGUGCCAAGUUGUGACGAUCUAGUGUAGUUCAAUACGUGAAAACAGUGUGGACCAAUGCCAAAAUCCUCGGAAAAUCAAGACACAUUUUUUGUGCGUGGUAUGGACGAGGCCAGCCAUGCGAGGUGGAGAGCAUCUUCCAGAAAGUACGAAUUCCCAGUUCAGUCGUCAACUUAACCGGAAGUCAACUCUGAACUGCAGUGGUGGAGGUCUAAUUGAUGUUUUCAAUCGGCCUAUUAUGGGUAUGGGACUGGUGAGAAUAGUUUUACACCUAC
rnacentral:lncRNA from 1 species